rnacentral:rRNA from 1 species
GAGAAGCGAAACUGCGAAGUGGAGCAAAACUCUAAAAAGCAUCUCAGUUCAGAUUGCAGGCUGCAACUCGCCUGCAUGAAGUCGGAAUUGCUAGUAAUCGUAGGUCAGCAUACUACGGUGAAUACGUUCCCGGGCCUUGUACACACCGCCCGUCAAACCAUGAGAGUUGGCAACACCCGAAGUCGGUAGUCUAACCGCAAGGAGGACGCCGCCGAAGGUGGGGUUGAUGAUUAGGGUUAAGUCGUAACAAGGUAGC